rnacentral:rRNA from 1 species
CCUACGUGUGGCAGCAGUGAGGAAUAUUGGGCAAUGGAGGCAACUCUGACCCAGCCAUGCCGCGUGAGUGAAGAAGGUUUUCGGAUUGUAAAGCCCUUUCGGAUGGUACGAUGAUGACGGUAGCAUCUAAAGAAGCCCCGGCUCACUUCGUGCCAGCAGCCGCGGUAAUACGAAGGGGGCAAGCGUUGUUCGGAAUUACUGGGCGUAAAGGGAUUGUAGGCGGUUUAGUAAGAUAGUGGUGAAAUACCAGGGGUUAACUUUGGAAUUGCCAUUAUAACUAUUAGACUAGAAUUACAGAGAGGAUAGUGGAAUGCGCAGUGUAGAGGUGAAAUUCGUAGAUAUGGGGUAGAACACCAGUGGCGAAGGCGACUAUCUGGCUGUACAUUGACGCUGAGGCUCGAAAGCAUGGGGAUCGAACAGGAUUAGAUACCCGAGUAGUC